UUUUUUUUUUUUUUACUUUGAAUAAACAUGUUUCUAUCAGCCGUAUUUACAUAUAAAUAUAAAGCUAAACCUAAAUCAGUAUAAAUAAGUUCAAUUUUUAAUAUUAAUGAGUCGAACUGUUAUAUCCGAAUAUUAUGCAAAAUCGAACCGACCCCAAUGCGAAAAAGAAAAAUCUAACCGGACUUGUUUUAUUAUUAUUGUAUUGAUGUAAUGCCGUUUGAACGUCAAACAUAUAGGUGAUCAAUUUUCCAUAAAACACUCGUUAUAUACUAUUAAGAAGUAUAAACUUUUUUCGAAAUUUUCUAGAGAGAUAGUAGACGAAAAUCGCGACAGCGGCGUACCUGAGGGGGAGAGACAGGACAGUCACCCCUUCACUUGAUCUUGUAUAAUAAAUAUCAAAUUUUGAUUUAAUAGAAUACAUAUUGUAUGAACUUAAAUGUAUUUUACAUUAAAUAUAAAUUAAAACGUUUGUGUUGCCCAAUUGCCGAAUCUAUUAAUAAUAUCAUUGUAUUUAUUACAUGUUUUUUGAAAAAAUAAUUUCAAAAUAUAUUUAACUCUUCUCCAUAAGAAUAGUAUUGGAUUGCUAAUGGAUCGUGGAUCUUUCUCCCCAACGCAACGGAUUGAUGGAAUAAUUAAAAAUAUCAACACCAAAACGUAUUUCAACUUGAACUCGGUGUAUGGAAUUUUUAAUAUGUAGAUAUUAGAUUGACAUUUUAACAUCAAAAGUCUGUAGUGAUUUCACCACCACCAAACAUACAUGCGAUAAAAUUAGAUUCGAUGUUAAAUUUUAUUACUGUUGAUUUCAAGACAACGUGCAAGUCAUGAGUGUUACGGGGAAAAAAUUGAUCACUCUAUAAAAUAUCUCGGAGAAUUGUAUAGAAAUUGAAAUUCUACAAAAACGUACGUAGUUCGAAUGUUCGAUUGUUUUCUUUUAAAAUAAUGAACUAAAUGUAGUAUUCUACAAAAUGUAUAUAAACUACUAUACAAAAUGUA